rnacentral:rRNA from 1 species
AUCUUUAACAGGUAUAUAGGGUACCUAGACGGUGUAAAAUGGCUUGGAUAAGUACCUAUUACACUUGAGUUUGAUAUGGGAGAGGAAUAUGUCGGAAUUGUUGGUGUAAAGAUGAAAUUUGCUAAUACCAAUAGGACCGGUAACGGCGAAGGCAAACCUCUAUGUACAUAUACUUGCUUAUUCUAUAGAAGAAUUGAUUUGAAAUUAUAAUUGGAUUCUAAAGAAUUACUCUUUCUUACUAGAUUGAAAAUGAAAGUGAAGAAAACGCUUAAAUGCAUAAAGAAAAAAGGCAAGCUAUUAUAACUGACGUUGAGGGACGAAGGCUCAGAGAGUGAAGAGGAUUAGAUACCCCCGUAGCCUGGGCAGACAAUGAUGAGUGCCAUAGGUUGGCUUUACGCGGAACUAUAAAUGAAAGUGCAAGCACUCCACCUCAAGAGUAAUGUGGCAACGCAGGAACUGAAAUCAUUAGACCGUUUCUGAAACCAGUCGUGAAGUAUGUUAUUUAAUUCGAUGAUCCUCGAAUAACCUUACCACAAUUUGAAUGACCUAAAAUAUUUUUUUAGACCACAUGCGUUGCAUGGCUGUCUUCAGUUAAUGUCGUGAGAUUUGGUUAGGUCCAUUAAAUUAACGUAAACCCUUGUUUUA